rnacentral:lncRNA from 1 species
UGGUCUUACAAACUCGUUGCUUUAAAUCAUAUAGAUAAAUGUAGCCUUCAAGUUUAAGAACAAGAGAAAAUCUCGGAAAGGAAAAAUGAAACAAGCACCGGAACAUCAAAACAUGCCCUAUUCAGAUCACAUCCAAAAACGUCGUCAAGAAAAGGGAUGCCUCUAUGCUUGGUUUGUAUCUCUUCCUAAUUAGCUAGUUGUAUUUGUAAAUUAAAAUUUUUAACUCGUUUUACUGCAGGUUGUUCGAAUUUUGUUGCUGUUGUUGCUGUGCCGAGGCUUGUGAAUGCUGCUGUUUGGACAGUGCUUCUUGUUGCUGCAUUUAAACUUUAAGGGGUUUCAUAAUGUCAAAGCCUGAAAUAAUUUUUACAUAUCCCUUUUGUUAGUUUAGUUCCAAAAUAUUGAAUGAAUUGCAG